AGGAAGGCAACAGGCGCGCAAAUUACCCAAUCUAGACAGUAGGAGGUGGUGAAGAAAAUUACUAAAUGGUGGUCUAUUAGAUCACUCGCUUGGAAUGAACGUAACUUAAGAAAUUCGAUGAGAAACAACUGGAGGGCAAGUCCUGGUGCCAGCAGCCGCGGUAAUUCCAGCUCCAGUAGUUUGCUUUAAAGUUGUUGCGUUUAAAACGCUCGUAGUUGGAUCACGCAGCGGUGCUCAGUAAUCGGUUGUUGUCGGUUGCCGACUGUGUCCGUCUCGUAACGGCCAAAAGGUAGCCUCAACAUCCGAUAUUCAUGCUGGGCGUCGCUAGUUGCACGUGAGAUGGUUUGUUGGCCUUUAUUGUGCCGAUAUUCUUGUCUUGCGGAGUGUGCCUUGAAUAAAACAGAGUGCUUAAAGCAGGUCUAUCGCCUGAAUGUUAUAGCAUGGAACGAACAAUCGUGUAUAUGUGUGUGUCUACAAAUGGCAGCGAGCCUUUGGUUUGCUGUUGUUGGUGAUGCACACGGCACCCACCAAAAUAUGGCUGUUGGUUCCAUAUACGGUGAUGAUUAACAGGAGCGGUUGGGGGCAUCAGUAUUUGGCCGCGAGAGGUGAAAUUCUUAGACCGGCCAAGGACUAACAAAUGCAAAGGCACUUGUCUAGACCGUUUCCAUUAAUCAAGAACGAAAGUGGGAGGUUCGAAGACGAUCAGAUACCGUCCUAGUUCCCACCGUAAACUAUGCCGACCUGGGAUCAGUUCAGAGAUGUUACAAGCUCUAGAUUGGUCCCCCUGGGAAACCUGAAGUUUUUCGGUUACGGGGAAAGUAUGGUCGCAAGGCUGAAACUUAAAGGAAUUGACGGAAGGGCACCACCAGGGGUGGAGCCUGCGGCUUAAUUUGACUCAACACGGGGAAACUUACCUGGUCCGGACAUCGAUAGGAUUAACAGAUCAAUAGCUCUUUUAUGAU
rnacentral:rRNA from 1 species